CACCGCGGUUAUACGAGUGACUCAUAUUAACACACCCCGGCGUAAAGAGUGGUUUAAGAAUGACCUUAAACAACUAAAGUUAAGACCUCAUAAAGCUGUUAUACGCACCCAUGAGAGGAAUAAUCAACAACGAAAGUGACUUUAUAUAUCAAGGAGCCUUGAUGCCACGAUAGUUGGAACC
rnacentral:rRNA from 1 species